AUUGAACGCUGGCGGCAUGCUUUACACAUGCAAGUCGAACGGUAACAGGGAGCUUGCUCCGCUGACGAGUGGCGAACGGGUGAGUAAUAUAUCGGAACGUACCCAAGAGUGGGGGAUAACGUAGCGAAAGUUACGCUAAUACCGCAUACGAUCUAAGGAUGAAAGCAGGGGACCUUCGGGCCUUGUGCUCCUGGAGCGGCCGAUAUCUGAUUAGCUAGUUGGUGAGGUAAAGGCUCACCAAGGCGACGAUCAGUAGCUGGUCUGAGAGGACGACCAGCCACACGGGACCUGAGACACGGUCCAGACUCCUACGGGAGGCAGCGGUGGGAAAUUUUGGACAAUGGGCGCAAGCCUGAUCCAGCAAUGCCGCGUGAGUGAAGAAGGCCUUCGGGUUGUAAAGCUCUUUUGUCAGGGAAGAAACGGGAUUGGCUAUAUCCAGUCCUAAUGACGGUACCUGAAGAAUAAGCACCGGCUAACUACGUG
rnacentral:rRNA from 1 species